CGGGACACGUGGUAUCCUGUCUGAAUAUGGGGGGACCAUCCUCCAAGGCUAAAUACUCCUGACUGACCGAUAGUGAACCAGUACCGUGAGGGAAAGGCGAAAAGAACCCCGGCGAGGGGAGUGAAAAAGAACCUGAAACCGUGUACGUACAAGCAGUGGGAGCACAGAGCAAUCUGUGUGACUGCGUACCUUUUGUAUAAUGGGUCAGCGACUUAUAUUCUGUAGCAAGGUUAACCGAAUAGGGGAGCCGAAGGGAAACCGAGUCUUAACUGGGCGUUAAGUUGCAGGGUAUAGACCCGAAACCCGGUGAUCUAGCCAUGGGCAGGUUGAAGGUUGGGUAACACUAACUGGAGGACCGAACCGACUAAUGUUGAAAAAUUAGCGGAUGACUUGUGGCUGGGGGUGAAAGGCCAAUCAAACCGGGAGAUAGCUGGUUCUCCCCGAAAGCUAUUUAGGUAGCGCCUCGUGAAUUCAUCUCCGGGGGUAGAGCACUGUUUCGGCAAGGGGGUCAUCCCGACUUACCAACCCGAUGCAAACUGCGAAUACCGGAGAAUGUUAUCACGGGAGACACACGGCGGGUGCUAACGUCCGUCGUGAAGAGGGAAACAACCCAGACCGCCAGCUAAGGUCCCAAAGUCAUGGUUAAGUGGGAAACGAUGUGGGAAGGCCCAGACAGCCAGGAUGUUGGCUUAGAAGCAGCCAUCAUUUAAAGAAAGCGUAAUAGCUCACUGGUCGAGUCGGCCUGCGCGGAAGAUGUAACGGGGCUAAACCAUGCACCGAAGCUGCGGCAGCGACGCUGAUGCGUUGUUGGGUAGGGGAGCGUUCUGUAAGCCUGCGAAGGUGUGCUGUGAGGCAUGCUGGAGGUAUCAGAAGUGCGAAUGCUGACAUAAGUAACGAUAAAGCGGGUGAAAAGCCCGCUCGCCGGAAGACCAAGGGUUCCUGUCCAACGUUAAUCGGGGCAGGGUGAGUCGACCCCUAAGGCGAGGCCGAAAGGCGUAGUCGAUGGGAAACAGGUUAAUAUUCCUGUACUUGGUGUUACUGCGAAGGGGGGACGGAGAAGGCUAUGUUGGCCGGGCGACGGUUGUCCCGGUUUAAGCGUGUAGGCUGGUUUUCCAGGCAAAUCCGGAAAAUCAAGGCUGAGGCGUGAUGACGAGGCACUACGGUGCUGAAGCAACAAAUGCCCUGCUUCCAGGAAAAGCCUCUAAGCAUCAGGUAACAUCAAAUCGUACCCCAAACCGACACAGGUGGUCAGGUAGAGAAUACCAAGGCGCUUGAGAGAACUCGGGUGAAGGAACUAGGCAAAAUGGUGCCGUAACUUCGGGAGAAGGCACGCUGAUAUGUAGGUGAAGUCCCUCGCGGAUGGAGCUGAAAUCAGUCGAAGAUACCAGCUGGCUGCAACUGUUUAUUAAAAACACAGCACUGUGCAAACACGAAAGUGGACGUAUACGGUGUGACGCCUGCCCGGUGCCGGAAGGUUAAUUGAUGGGGUUAGCGCAAGCGAAGCUCUUGAUCGAAGCCCCGGUAAACGGCGGCCGUAACUAUAACGGUCCUAAGGUAGCGAAAUUCCUUGUCGGGUAAGUUCCGACCUGCACGAAUGGCGUAAUGAUGGCCAGGCUGUCUCCACCCGAGACUCAGUGAAAUUGAACUCGCUGUGAAGAUGCAGUGUACCCGCGGCAAGACGGAAAGACCCCGUGAACCUUUACUAUAGCUUGACACUGAACAUUGAGCCUUGAUGUGUAGGAUAGGUGGGAGGCUUUGAAGUGUGGACGCCAGUCUGCAUGGAGCCGACCUUGAAAUACCACCCUU
rnacentral:rRNA from 1 species